GCAGCAGCACAAGAACAGAGUCUUCAGGAUCAUUCUUUCCAGCCACAACAUCGCAGUCCUUACUUCAGCUUGUGGAUGGUCUCCAUGUCCACGGCCUCGUUGAGGGUGCCUUUCUCGACGUGAUCCCACCAGCCCAUGAGGAAGUUGUCAACAACCAGCCGGAACCAGGGAGACAGCUUCAGGCCUUCCUCUCCGGCGUCCGCUUUGCGGAUGAGCUCCUUCAGCUGCUCACGGCUCACGUAUUUCACAUCGGCCACUUCGUCCGGGUUCGGGACUACCUUCACGUCGCGGACGAUGAACAGCAGGUAGUCAAGCUCGUGUUCACCCCAUUUUCCAUCAGAUGGGGCCUUGUAAAGCAUCCGACCAAGAGGGGUGAAUUGGUCAACUGGCACAUCUUCAGCUGGGAUGCCCAGCUCAUCCAAGAGCUUCCUCUGAGCAGCAUUUCUAACACCAAGGUAGUUUUCCUGUAUAAGCUCAGACUCACGGUACAGAGGAUGGCUGCAGCAAGUGUUGGUCCAAACUAGAGGAAAUGUAACCUUUGUUGCAGAUCGUUGCUGGAAAAUAGGAGUUCAUAUUUUGAGUUGAACAGGAAUACACUGAAAGCCCUAUGAAGUAGAUUUUCAGAUUCGAUUUUUUCCAUCAGAUGGCCUUUAUAUUUUGAUUCAUGGCCAACAACAUUGUCU
rnacentral:sRNA from 1 species